rnacentral:rRNA from 1 species
GAUGAACGCUGGCGGCGUGCCUAAUACAUGCAAGUCGAGCGAAUGGAUUAAGAGCUUGCUCUUAUGAAGUUAGCGGCGGACGGGUGAGUAACACGUGGGUAACCUGCCCAUAAGACUGGGAUAACUCCGGGAAACCGGGGCUAAUACCGGAUAACAUUUUGAACCGCAUGGUUCGAAAUUGAAAGGCGGCUUCGGCUGUCACUUAUGGAUGGACCCGCGUCGCAUUAGCUAGUUGGUGAGGUAACGGCUCACCAAGGCAACGAUGCGUAGCCAGCCUGAGAGGGGGAUCGGCCACACUGGGACUGGGACACGGCCCAGACUCCUACGGGAGGCAGCAGUAGGGAAUCUUCCGCAAUGGACGAAAGUCUGACGGAGCAACGCCGCGUGAGUGAUGAAGGCUUUCGGGUCGUAAAACUCUGUUGUUAGGGAAGAACAAGUGCUAGUUGAAUAAGCUGGCACCUUGACGGUACCUAACCAGAAAGCCACGGCUAACUACGUGCCAGCAGCCGCAGUAA